UACGAAGGGGGCUAGCGUUGCUCGGAAUUACUGGGCGUAAAGCGCACGUAGGCGGUCUUUUAAGUUCGGGGGUGGAAAUCCUGGAGCUCAACUCCAGAACUGCCUUCGAUACUGGAAGACUUGAGUCCGGGAGAGGUGAGUGGAACUGCGAGUGUAGAGGUGAAAUUCGUAGAUAUUCGCAAGAACACCAGUGGCGAAGGCGGCUCACUGGCCCGGUACUGACGCUGAGGUGGCGAAA
rnacentral:rRNA from 1 species